CCUACGGGCGGCAGCAGUGAGGAAUAUUGGUCAAUGGACGGAAGUCUGAACCAGCCAUGCCGCGUGCAGGAAGACGGCUCUAUGAGUUGUAAACUGCUUUUGUACAAGGGUAAACCUGAAUACGUGUAUUCAGCUGAAAGUACUGUACGAAUAAGGAUCGGCUAACUCCGUGCCAGCAGCCGCGGUAAUACGGAGGAUCCAAGCGUUAUCCGGAUUUAUUGGGUUUAAAGGGUGCGUAGGCGGGCUGUUAAGUCAGCGGUCAAAUGUCGGGGCUCAACCCCGGCCUGCCGUUGAAACUGGCGGCCUCGAGUGGGCGAGAAGUAUGCGGAAUGCGUGGUGUAGCGGUGAAAUGCAUAGAUAUCACGCAGAACUCCGAUUGCGAAGGCAGCAUACCGGCGCCCGACUGACGCUGAGGCACGAAAGCGUGGGUAUCGAACAGGAUUAGAUACCCUUGUAGUC
rnacentral:rRNA from 1 species